UCCGUAGGUGACCUGCGGAAGGAUCAUUAUAGUACAACGGAGGCACCUGGGCUGUCGCUGACCUUAAAGGACGUGCACGCCCGGAGUGCUCUCUCACAUCCAUCUCACCCCUUUGUGCAUCACCGCGUGGGGCCCUCUCCUUUGGCUUGUUCCGGGGAGGGGGUUUCACGUUUUUACACGAACAACCCAUUAAUGCAUGUGUAGAAUGUCUUACUUAUUUUAAAUACAACUUUCAACAACGGAUCUCUUGGCUCUCGCAUCGAUGAAGAACGCAGCGAAAUGCGAUACGUAAUGUGAAUUGCAGAAUUCAGUGAAUCAUCGAAUCUUUGAACGCACCUUGCGCCCCUUGGUAUUCCGAGGGGUGCACCCGUUUGAGUGUCGUGAACACCCUCAACCUUCUUGGUUUAUCGACCGGGAAGGAUUGGACUUUGGAGGUUUUUGUUGCUGGCCUCGUUUGAAGCCAGCUCCUCCUAAAUGAAUUAGUGGGGUCCGCCGUGCCGAUCCUCGACGUGAUAAGUACGCUUCUACGUCUUGGGGUUUCGCACCGUUCUCGCUUCCAACUUCGAGUUGUGACUCGACCUUAUAAACCUUGACCUCAAAUCGGGUGAGACUACCCGCUGAACUUAAGCAUAUCAAUAAGCGGAGGAAAAGAAACUAACAAGGAUUUCCCCUAGUAACUGCGAGUGAAGCGGGAAAAGCUCAAAUUUGGAAUCUGGUGGUCUUUGGGCCAUCCGAGUUGUAAUUUAGAGAAGCGUCUUCCGCGCUGGACCGUGCACAAGUCUCCUGGAAUGGAGCGUCAUAGAGGUGAGAAUCCCGUCUUUGGCAUGGAAUUCCAGGGCUUCUGUGAUGCGCUCUCGACAGUCGAGUUGUUUGGGAAUGCAGCUCAAAUGGGUGGUGGACUCCA
rnacentral:rRNA from 1 species